UACGGAGGGUGCAAGCAUUAAUCGGAUUUAUUGGGCGUAAAGGGCGCGUAGGCGGGCUUUUAAGUCAGUGGUGAAAUCUCCGGGCUCAACCCGGAAACUGCCAUUGAUACUAUUAGUCUUGAAUUUUGUUGAGGUAGGCGGAAUAAGUCAUGUAGCGGUGAAAUGCUUAGAUAUGACUUAGAACACCAAUUGCGAAGGCAGCUUGCUAAACAAAUAUUGACGCUGAGGCACGAAAGCGUGGGGAUCAAAACAGG
rnacentral:rRNA from 1 species